UACGUAGGGGGCAAGCGUUGUCCGGAAUUACUGGGCGUAAAGGGUGCGUAGGCGGGUCUUUAAGUCAGAGGUGAAAUCCUGGAGCUCAACUCCAGAACUGCCUUUGAUACUGAGGAUCUUGAGUUCGGGAGAGGUGAGUGGAACUGCGAGUGUAGAGGUGAAAUUCGUAGAUAUUCGCAAGAACACCAGUGGCGAAGGCGGCUCACUGGCCCGAUACUGACGCUGAGGCACGAAAGCGUGGGGAGCAAACAGG
rnacentral:rRNA from 1 species